GAUUGAACGCUGGCGGCAUGCCUUACACAUGCAAGUCGAACGGCAGCACGGGUGCUUGCACCUGGUGGCGAGUGGCGAACGGGUGAGUAAUACAUCGGAACAUGUCCUGUAGUGGGGGAUAGCCCGGCGAAAGCCGGAUUAAUACCGCAUACGAUCUACGGAUGAAAGCGGGGGACCUUCGGGCCUCGCGCUAUAGGGUUGGCCGAUGGCUGAUUAGCUAGUUGGUGGGGUAAAGGCCUACCAAGGCGACGAUCAGUAGCUGGUCUGAGAGGACGACCAGCCACACUGGGAGUGAGACACGGCCCAGACUCCUACGGGAGGCAGCAGUGGGGAAUUUUGGACAAUGGGCGAAAGCCUGAUCCAGCAAUGCCGCGUGUGUGAAGAAGGCCUUCGGGUUGUAAAGCACUUUUGUCCGGAAAGAAAUCCUUGGCUCUAAUACAGUCGGGGGAUGACGGUACCGGAAGAAUAAGCACCGGCUAACUACGUGCCAGCAGCCGCGGUAAUACGUAGGGUGCGAGCGUUAAUCGGAAUUACUGGGCGUAAAGCGUGCGCAGGCGGUUUGCUAAGACCGAUGUGAAAUCCCCGGGCUCAACCUGGGAACUGCAUUGGUGACUGGCAGGCUAGAGUAUGGCAGAGGGGGGUAGAAUUCCACGUGUAGCAGUGAAAUGCGUAGAGAUGUGGAGGAAUACCGAUGGCGAAGGCAGCCCCCUGGGCCAAUACUGACGCUCAUGCACGAAAGCGUGGGGAGCAAACAGGAUUAGAUACCCUGGUAGUCCACGCCCUAAACGAUGUCAACUAGUUGUUGGGGAUUCAUUUCCUUAGUAACGUAGCUAACGCGUGAAGUUGACCGCCUGGGGAGUACGGUCGCAAGAUUAAAACUCAAAGGAAUUGACGGGGACCCGCACAAGCGGUGGAUGAUGUGGAUUAAUUCGAUGCAACGCGAAAAACCUUACCUACCCUUGACAUGGUCGGAAUCCCGCUGAGAGGUGGGAGUGCUCGAAAGAGAACCGGCGCACAGGUGCUGCAUGGCUGUCGUCAGCUCGUGUCGUGAGAUGUUGGGUUAAGUCCCGCAACGAGCGCAACCCUUGUCCUUAGUUGCUACGCAAGAGCACUCUAAGGAGACUGCCGGUGACAAACCGGAGGAAGGUGGGGAUGACGUCAAGUCCUCAUGGCCCUUAUGGGUAGGGCUUCACACGUCAUACAAUGGUCGGAACAGAGGGUUGCCAACCCGCGAGGGGGAGCUAAUCCCAGAAAACCGAUCGUAGUCCGGAUUGCACUCUGCAACUCGAGUGCAUGAAGCUGGAAUCGCUAGUAAUCGCGGAUCAGCAUGCCGCGGUGAAUACGUUCCCGGGUCUUGUACACACCGCCC
rnacentral:rRNA from 1 species